AAGAUGAGCACACAUUUAUUUCUUCUUACAAGUCCUUUAUGUAACUUUGCUGCCCUCUUCCUUGUACCUUCCUCAUCAAAGAGAUCAAGCCCUACUUCGCUGGCAAUAUCACUCUGCAACUUGUGAAUGCUGAAAUCACCAGAUAAAGCGACCAGGUAAACAUGAUCAAAAGUUUCAUCUUGAAGGAGUUGAUUAUAUAUAUGCACCAUAAUCUCUGUUUUUCCAACUCCCUCUACUCCAGAAACACCAAUUCUUAGCACUUGUUCAUUCAUCAAGCAUGCCCAGAUUCUUCCUAAGACUUCAUUUGAAUUUUGACCCACCAAUUUUGUUGUCAAUAAUUCCACUCCACUAGUUUCAUUUACAUCAAGCAGAAGACUAUCAAAUUUUCCCUGCUCACAAAGCUCUUCUACUUCACGAAUUUCCUUCUGAAGACGCGUUUUCCACCAUGGUGCUAAUGAAUAUUUUCGAUCUCCGAUUUGUUGUUCCAUGACUUGCACAUCAUUUUUCUUUCUUUGAACACUUCCUAACCAAUUUUCAACUUCCCUCUUUCGCUUCUUUCCAGAAUGAAACUCGGCAACUUCGAGUGUUUUGUUAAUAUCGUCCUCUAAAGAACACAAAGUUUUCAAAUUUCUCUUGAGAGUUUGCCUACCUUCAACGAUAGCGUUGUGAUAGGUAACAAAUGGCCAUAAGUUGUUAAAGACCUCCACUUUGCCCAAUAUGUUCUCCAAAAACUCCAUUCUCUAUUGCACUACA
rnacentral:misc_RNA from 1 species